AAGCCCAACCGCCUGAUCUCAGGAAAUUCCUCACUUAGCAACAGCUAACCACCCUGCCCACCCCACUUCACAACAAGCCCAGAUCUCUCCCACCCGGACCUAAACUUACCCAGUCUGUAAGCGGGGGCGGGCUCUGGCCUUAGUUGGUGUCCCCCUCCGCGGGUGUUUGUUCGGUAAACCUGUGUUGCUGUAGAGCCGCCUCCGUCCGUUUUUCCUCCCGUUCCUGCGCUAACAAUGACAUUAUACCAAAUGUAACUGCAUGCAUCUACAUCUUAAUUACAAUUAAGAAAUAUCUUCCUGGCCGCAUGCAGUGGCUCAUGCCUGUAAUCCCAGCACUUUGGGAGACCGAGGUGGGUGGGUCACGAGGUCAAGAGUUCAAGACCAGCCUGGCCAAGAUGGUGAAACCCUGUCUCUACUAAAAAAAAAAAAAGAAAGAAAUAUCUUUUAGCUGUUUACCUACUUCCUGGAAAAAUAGUAGCUCUCUGUAGCAUUACGGAGUUUCAGUGGAACCAAAUUUUUACCAUUAAAAACU
rnacentral:lncRNA from 1 species